rnacentral:lncRNA from 1 species
AAAGGAAAAUAAUGACUAAAAUGGUAGUGAACAUUUCGUAUUAAGACUGUCUGCAAAUAUUGAUUAUAAUACUGCAAAUAAAAGAAGAAAAAAUAAAAACAAGGAACCAAAUCUUGGAAAGAAUGCACAACUCUGCAGAGAGGAUGAAUACUAGCUCAGUUCAGUGAAUUCAUGUUUGUUUCAUAAAGAAGCCAUUUCUGCACACUAUUUCCAUUUGGCAAGAAUAAUUAAUCUUCAAUAUAUAAACUCCUGCAGCUCCCGGAUUCCUAGCAGCCACGGUGGGUGGUGCAGUCUUCUGUCACAUGGAUGUAGUCACCCUCCUCCUCCGCCAUUUUUAGUCACCGUCUGUGUUGGUGAUUGGAGAAAGUUGCAAACAUCCAGAUUUUCCCAUUAAAACUCUAAUAAAUUUUACCAUGCAGCGUCAAGCACUGUGACUGCUUCUGCCUGGAGGGUGAGGCUGGGAGAGGCGUCACCACAGCCAAGCCACUGGCAGUGCCGUGCAGGGUUGGACAGGUUAGCAGUGCAGCAAGAAGUGGCAAUCGCCAUGCACAGGAUAGUUCUUCAAGCUGGAAGCUUCCAAUGGCAGCUUGUUGGGAAAAAUCCAUGAACCCCUGGUGAUUUUCUAAGAAACAACCUGCUUGUGUGAUCCUACGGUAAAGUCAAAGCAGAAGUCAAAGUAUAGCAUACAGUUUUCUUUGAAAAUUUGAAAAAAAGAAGAAAUUGCAAAUAGAACCAG